AUGCCUACAGCAGUCACAGAACAGAAGCAGUACAUGGGAAAACAGCCAGACCAGGACAAGAACCAAAGACCCAGGCGGUGGCAUCCCUGCCUGAAAGGCUAUACGCUGUAUGGCAGGCUUGGAGCAAGUGCCUCUCCUCCUGAUAAAGGAGUUGUAGUACCUUGCAUCCAGUUCCUGUGGAAAGUCGGCCUCAGGCCUGAGAUCCUGGAAAUAACCGAGGGAGCAGAACCCCUCUGGUGUGACCAGUCACAGCGGCUGUAUAUCCUGGUUGGGGAUGCGGCUACCCUGGACCACCAGCUCUUGGGCGGGCAGAGGGCGACGAAGGGCGCCACUGUUAGGGAGAGCGGCUGGCGGGCCGCCUGGGAGAAGCAGCGGGCGCCACCCUCAGAGUGGUGGCGGGAAAAUCAGAUGACAAAGGUCCCCAGUGCCAACCCUGCAGUACAGGCCUUUGACAUCCGGCUGAACUGCACUGAGUAUGGGGAGCUGUGUGAGAAGCUCUGGGCACCCAUCUGCAGUGCGGCCCAUGUGGUCAUCCACCAGAACCUGGGCGACCUGUUCCUGGAGACGUUUGCCUCCCUGGUAGAGGUCAACCCCGCCUACUCAGUGCCCAGCAGCCAGGAGCUGGAGGCCUGCAUAGGCUGCAUGCAGACGCGUGUCCAACGUGAAGCUGGUGAAGACCUGCCAGGAGGCGGCGGUGGGCAAGUGCCAGCAGUGCUACUGCCGCCCCAUGUGGUGCCUCACUUGCAUGGGCAGGUGGUUUGCCAGCCGCCAGGACCCGCUGCGCCCCUGGCUGGCCAGCCGUGUGCCUUGCCCCACCUGCCGCACACGCUUCUGUAUCGUGGAUGUGUGCACCAUACGCUGAGUGGGCUGGGGCUUGAGGAUCCUGGUGACUCUGUGUUCCCCCGGCCACAGGGUGAGGAGGGGGUGGCUGGGCCUCCAAGCUGGCAAAGGGCUCUACCUAAAGCACUUGAUCUGUAGCAACUCGCCUCUGCCCUGGGUCCGCAGAAGGCUGAGGGCUUUUGGUUAAAAGCAAUCCUCAUGAACACACCCCACCCUGCUCGGCAGCCAGGGGACAAGUCCUUGGCACCUCCUCUUUGCCUCCCUCCUGUCCCUUCCUGCAGGUAGGGGCAGGUACUGCCCACACAGAACACAGCAUUUGCCCGGAGGCCAUUCCCUGGAGACCCUGGGUCUGCUCCAGUGGUCCUCACCUGGGCCACUUGCCUUAAUUUUCUGGAGCAAACCUGCCCUCAUUUACAUGCCAGACCCAGAUCAGCGUUCUCCCGCCCUGUCCUGGAGCUGCACCUGGCUGCCUGGAGAGCCCUGGGUAUGUCCCGAGGGUGGGGUGGAGAACAGGGCACGGCUCCGGUGUGGGAGCAGCCCUGGGGCUUCCUAGUGGCUUUGGCAUUGGGGGGCCAUUCCUGGGUGGCGUGCGAGGCCAGGCCAGAGUGCCCUCAUUGGUGGGACUGUCCCUCCAGGGGUUCUCACCCUGUCCUUGGUGCCUUCUGCUGCCCCCAGAAGUCCAGGGAAGGCGGAGGCCUCAGACUCCUGGGUAGGGGUGGGGGUUUGAGCUGAGGACCAAAGUGUCACAGUGACAUCCAGAACAUAAGCCCACAAGGCAUCCUGCACAGGCUGCCCACUCCCCUAGGGCCUACCGGGCUCAGAAGGGUAUGCACGCCCGCUGUGGUUGAGACUCUGGUGAGCGUCUUGCCCGGUUCCUGAUGAUUCAAGGGGAGGGGGAGGAGGAGGUGGAGGAGUUGUCCAGGCCCUAGGGCACAGCCCUGACAGGUGUGGCCACUGGAGUGGCUCUCACGCCUGCGGCCCUGGAUGUGGCUGAUUCCAGCAGAGGUGAUGGACUCAGGUGGCCUGACCCCCAGGAUUUGGGAGGCUUCCUGAGGCACUCAGAAGGUAAAGGCAGCAGGGGCCGUGGCCAGGAGCUAGACCUAGCCAUGGUCCUGAGUUUUAAGGGCUGCCAAAGAGGGUCAGUGGGUGUUGUUUUUACUACAAAAGAAGUU